GUGAUCCAAGAAAUCAUUUUUUAUAUAAAUCUAUUUCCACUGAAUGAAGCUUCAGGAUGAGAAAUUCUCUCUGAACUUUAAAACAUUCCAGAAGGAAAUACUCCAGAAAUGAAACAUUUGCAAUCCUCAUAUUGGCAGGAAAAGUACAGCACAGAGGAGUUAUAAUUAAUGAUCUCGUUUCUUCCAUGCAAACGUGGAUAUUAGAAUUCUUGUAUCAAUUCCGAGAGAAUACAAAACUCAAUUU
rnacentral:misc_RNA from 1 species